rnacentral:rRNA from 1 species
CCGGUGUAGCGGUGGAAUGCGUAGAUAUCGGGAGGAACACCAGUGGCGAAGGCGGUCUACUGGGCACCAACUGACGCUGAGGCUCGAAAGCAUGGGUAGCAAACAGGAUUAGAUACCCUGGUAGUCCAUGCCGUAAACGAUGAUUACUAGGUGUUGGGGGAUUGACCCCCUCAGUGCCGCAGUUAACACAAUAAGUAAUCCACCUGGGGAGUACGACCGCAAGGUUGAAACUCAAAGGAAUUGACGGGGGCCCGCACAAGCAGUGGAGUAUGUGGUUUAAUUCGACGCAACGCGAAGAACCUUACCAAGUCUUGACAUCCCUUGACGAACAUAGAAAUAUGUUUUCUCUUCGGAGCAAGGAGACAGGUGGUGCAUGGUUGUCGUCAGCUCGUGUCGUGAGAUGUUGGGUUAAGUCCCGCAACGAGCGCAACCCUUAUUGCCAGUUACUACGUUAAGAGGACUCUGGCGAGACUGCCGUUGACAAAACGGAGGAAGGUGGGGAUGACGUCAAAUCAUCAUGCCCUUUAUGACUUGGGCUACACACGUACUACAAUGGCGUUAAACAAAGAGAAGCAAGACCGCGAGGUGGAGCAAAACUCAAAAACAACGUCUCAGUUCAGAUUGCAGGCUGCAACUCGCCUGCAUGAAGUCGGAAUUGCUAGUAAUCGCGGAUCAGCAUGCCGCGGUGAAUACGUUCCCGGGCCUUGUACACACCGCCCGUCACACCAUGAGAGCCGGGGGGACCCGAAGUCGGUAGUCUAACCGCAAGGAGGACGCCGCCGAAGGUAAAACUGGUGAUUGGGGUGAAGUCGUAACAAGGUAGCCGUAGGAGAACCUGCGGCUG